GCCCAGGUAGCUCAGUUGGCCAGAGCACAAACAUGGUAAGUUUGGGGUCAGCGGUUCGAAUCCGCUCCUGGGCU
rnacentral:tRNA from 1 species